AAGAAAAAAAAAUCUGGCACUUGAGACUCUUGACGCGCGCUAAUUUGUUCGGAAAAUACCACAGCUUUCCACAGAACGUUGAAUUGAAAGGACCGAAAUACCCUUCAAUUGGGGAAGUUUGUUCUCCUUCCUCGGACGCUUUCUCCUCCAGGAGGAGAGGGAGGGACGAGCAGCGGCGAGAAGAGAUGCGCGGCCGAUCGAGGGCAAGAAGAGAGAGAGAGAGAGAUGGGAUUAGGGCAUGGGCUGGGAGUACAAAGAAAAAGAAUCCAAAUGCAACCAUCUCCAUAUGAUUGACCAUCGACGACCUGUGUUAGACGAGUGACGAGCCAGCGUUGAAUGGAGAAGGGGAUGGCAGGCUCAAGCUCAAGCUCGCGGCGCCGGUGGUAUCCAGCAAAGUAGACUAUUUUUUUGGGUGGUAUUUUCCGAAUUUUGCAUCCUGCAUCCCACAUGUGCUAUGUUAACCGAUUUUUCCAUUCUUUUUUAUUUAUGUGAUUUAAUUUCGUUUGUUCUGUUUUAGGUGCUGAGACAAGGAAGGUGUUGGUUGUAUAUGACAUUGUUGGUGAUGUGCUUAAAAACUUGACAGUAGUAUUGCUUGCUUACAUGCAUUCUCAAGGUAUAGUUGAAUUUUAUUGGUUCAGAACAUAGGUUCACAGUUUCCAUCCCACUAGCUAAGAAAAUGAUAAAUCUGGAGAGCUGUAAAAAUGUUUGACCUCCACAUUGAAAAGUAGUGGGAAUCUGGUCCUCUAGGCAAUCAACCUUCAAGAAAUGAAGUAUACUUCAUUUGGUGGUGCUGGUUUCAACUCUCGACCAGUUUCAAAUGCCAUUGGUUGCAACUAUUGAGAAUUUGAUUCCUCUGGCAGAACUAGGAAAGAAGUCAUCUGGCCCUUUAUCUCCCGUUCUUCCUACAACUAGGCUAAUCACAUCAUCGCAAAAAAAAAAAAAACUAGGCUAAUCACAUCAGUACCUAUCUCCUCUGGACCUAUGAGUUCAUCUGGUGGUGCGACCUCUUUUGCUCACAGCCGGGCUGUUACAAAUCUGAAUGUAGAAGAUGGUUACUCAAUCAAGGGCAGCAUUCCGAAGUCAAUUCUCUGGAUAUAUGGUUGUUCUUCUCUUUGUGAUGGUGUUUCAUAGCAGGUGGAUUCAUUCUUGGCGCUGUUCAUAAUCCUAUAUUGCUGGUAGUUUGUGGUGGUGAUACUUUGUUUCUGUCGCUGCAAUUGCGAUUUGGAAUAUUAAUUUACUGAGGAACAAGAGGCAUGAUUUUGUUCAUCAGUCGCUAUCCUGAUUCUGAUCUUAGAACAGCAAAAGAUGGACAGUGCAUGAAAGUUACUGGGGUGUGACUGUCAGAAAUAUUGAUUUUGCUCCAUCGUUCUGCUGAGCAGUUUUGAUUUGUAGGUUUCACAAAAUACUUUAGAUGGUCAUCUGUAGUAAUAAUAUUGAUAUUAAUUAGAAACAAGAACAAACUUCUAGGCACAUGGAUGCUUUGAUCAUAUAGGUUAGUUUCACAAGCAGGUAACUCUACUAACCUGUACUUGACACUAACAUGAUUUCUUCUCAUAAUAUAUUUUCUUUUGACAGUAAUCUUGUGGUUAUAGAAACUUGGAUUGCCUUUUAGCAAUAUGCUUUAUUUUUCACAUCGUUAACAACUAGCAUAUCUUCACAGGUUGUUACUUAUGGAAAUUUUCCCGUCGAGUCCUCAUUUCAAAGGGUUCCAAGAUGUUUGUACAUUGGACUUGCCUGUAUGAGUACAGCCUACAGGGGAUGGGUAUCAAAAGCUGCUAAUGCUGAGCAUUGCAGAUUAAUUUAACUUGGGACUCGGGUCAAUGGAGGUGAGUUUCUCUUCAACUGGAAAUUUGAUUAUUAUCAAGAUGAUGAGAUCUCACAGUGCGCUAGUGUUUAAUGCCAUGAGGAUUUUAUUGAAGAAUGCAAACUGCUAUAAUUCUUCCCAACAUAAACCCUGCAAUCUCACAUUUUCCUUGCUAUGAUUGUGGCGACAUGCUGUCGAUUUCUACAUUUCUGAUUUCCAAUCUGGACGGCGAGCAUUGGUCAGAAAAGGAUAUGGGGCACGGGUAACCUCUAAUGUUGAUGAAUCUGUUGUUACUGACAUAAAUCCGGAUAACAAGGACGUCCUGAGAUCCUGAAACGGCUACGAGAAAGGAAUGUUUUAAGUGAUGAUCGUAUAAUGUUCCUAAAAAAAGGGUACUCUUAUUUGUUCUGAAUUUUGGAGUUAUAUGAAAUCAUUUCACAUGCACAUUUACAUGCAGAAUUGCAGAUACAUCAAGGAGGGCAGCAGAGUUUGUAUUAUGGGGGUUGUUCAAAGGAACGACAGUGUGUUGAUGAUUGUUCAUCCAUCUGAACCCAUCUCGACUGGCACGAAGAUACAUCAAACAUGCUGAGAAAGAGAAUGCCUGUCGAAAUCCCUGGAUUUAUUUUGUGGGAUGUUAGAGUUGAAAAGGAUGUGCAAAUGCAGGUUGUGAUUAUGCAUUGGUUGUAUAGUGUUUUAUGUAUUUUUCUCUGUUUUUUUUCUCUUCUGUUGGGCUUUGGAUACUUGUAACAUGGAUGGCUUUAGUUUUACCAUGGAGCUGUUUGGGGAUUCUCAGUGGAAUAGAGUUCACAAGUUUUUGUUGUGAAGAAUUCCAGAAGUGUUAUAAAUUGUUCCAGUUUCAAUUUUAUGUGCA